rnacentral:rRNA from 1 species
UACAGAGGUCCCAAGCGUUGUUCGGAUUCACUGGGCGUAGAGGGUGCGUAGGUGGUGAGGUAAGUCGGAUGUGAAAUCUCCGGGCUCAACCCGGAAAUGGCAUUGGAAACUACCUUGCUGGAGGAUUUGAGGGGGGAUUGGAAUACUUGGUGUAGCAGUGAAAUGCGUAGAUAUCGUGAGGAACACCAGAGGCGAAGGCGGUUACCUGGACAGUUACUGACGCUCAGGCACGAAAGCAUGGGGAGCAAAAGGG